rnacentral:rRNA from 1 species
GGGUUGUGAGGUUAAGCGACUAAGCGUACACGGUGGAUGCCCUGGCAGUCAGAGGCGAUGAAGGACGUGCUAAUCUGCGAUAAGCGUCGGUAAGGUGAUAUGAACCGUUAUAACCGGCGAUUUCCGAAUGGGGAAACCCAGUGUGAUUCGUCACACUAUCAUUAACUGAAUCCAUAGGUUAAUGAGGCGAACCGGGGGAACUGAAACAUCUAAGUACCCCGAGGAAAAGAAAUCAACCGAGAUUCCCCCAGUAGCGGCGAGCGAACGGGGAGCAGCCCAGAGCCUGAAUCAGUGUGUGUGUUAGUGGAAGCGUCUGGAAAGGCGUGCGAUACAGGGUGACAGCCCCGUACACAAAAAUGCACAUACUGUGAGCUCGAUGAGUAGGGCGGGACACGUGGUAUCCUGUCUGAAUAUGGGGGGACCAUCCUCCAAGGCUAAAUACUCCUGACUGACCGAUAGUGAACCAGUACCGUGAGGGAAAGGCGAAAAGAACCCCGGCGAGGGGAGUGAAAAAGAACCUGAAACCGUGUACGUACAAGCAGUGGGAGCACGCUUAGGCGUGUGACUGCGUACCUUUUGUAUAAUGGGUCAGCGACUUAUAUUCUGUAGCAAGGUUAACCGAAUAGGGGAGCCGAAGGGAAACCGAGUCUUAACUGGGCGUUAAGUUGCAGGGUAUAGACCCGAAACCCGGUGAUCUAGCCAUGGGCAGGUUGAAGGUUGGGUAACACUAACUGGAGGACCGAACCGACUAAUGUUGAAAAAUUAGCGGAUGACUUGUGGCUGGGGGGGAAAGGCCAAUCAAACCGGGAGAUAGCUGGUUCUCCCCGAAAGCUAUUUAGGUAGCGCCUCGUGAAUUCAUCUCCGGGGGUAGAGCACUGUUUCGGCAAGGGGGUCAUCCCGACUUACCAACCCGAUGCAAACUGCGAAUACCGGAGAAUGUUAUCACGGGAGACACACGGCGGGUNNNNNNNNNNNNNNNNNUGAAAGGCCAAUCAAACCGGGAGAUAGCUGGUUCUCCCCGAAAGCUAUUUAGGUAGCGCCUCGUGAAUUCAUCUCCGGGGGUAGAGCACUGUUUCGGCAAGGGGGUCAUCCCGACUUACCAACCCGAUGCAAACUGCGAAUACCGGAGAAUGUUAUCACGGGAGACACACGGCGGGUGCUAACGUCCGUCGUGAAGAGGGAAACAACCCAGACCGCCAGCUAAGGUCCCAAAGUCAUGGUUAAGUGGGAAACGAUGUGGGAAGGCCCAGACAGCCAGGAUGUUGGCUUAGAAGCAGCCAUCAUUUAAAGAAAGCGUAAUAGCUCACUGGUCGAGUCGGCCUGCGUGGAAGAUGUAACGGGGCUAAACCAUGCACCGAAGCUGCGGCAGCGACGCUUAUGCGUUGUUGGGUAGGGGAGCGUUCUGUAAGCCUGUGAAGGUGUGCUGUGAGGUAUGCUGGAGGUAUCAGAAGUGCGAAUGCUGACAUAAGUAACGAUAAAGCGGGUGAAAAGCCCGCUCGCCGNNNNNNNNNNCGGAAGAUGUAACGGGGCUAAACCAUGCACCGAAGCUGCGGCAGCGACGCUUAUGCGUUGUUGGGUAGGGGAGCGUUCUGUAAGCCUGUGAAGGUGUGCUGUGAGGUAUGCUGGAGGUAUCAGAAGUGCGAAUGCUGACAUAAGUAACGAUAAAGCGGGUGAAAAGCCCGCUCGCCGGAAGACCAAGGGUUCCUGUCCAACGUUAAUCGGGGCAGGGUGAGUCGACCCCUAAGGCGAGGCCGAAAGGCGUAGUCGAUGGGAAACAGGUUAAUAUUCCUGUACUUGGUGUUACUGCGAAGGGGGGACGGAGAAGGCUAUGUUGGCCGGGCGACGGUUGUCCCGGUUUAAGCGUGUAGGCUGGUUUUCCAGGCAAAUCCGGAAAAUCAAGGCCGAGGCGUGAUGACGAGGCACUACGGUGCUGAAGCAACAAAUGCCCUGCUUCCAGGAAAAGCCUCUAAGCAUCAGGUAACAUCAAAUCGUACCCCAAACCGACACAGGUGGUCAGGUAGAGAAUACCAAGGCGCUUGAGAGAACUCGGGUGAAGGAACUAGGCAAAAUGGUGCCGUAACUUCGGGAGAAGGCACGCUGAUACGUAGGUGAAGCGACUUGCUCGUGGAGCUGAAAUCAGUCGAAGAUACCAGCUGGCUGCAACUGUUUAUUAAAAACACAGCACUGUGCAAACACGAAAGUGGACGUAUACGGUGUGACGCCUGCCCGGUGCCGGAAGGUUAAUUGAUGGGGUUAGCGCAAGCGAAGCUCUUGAUCGAAGCCCCGGUAAACGGCGGCCGUAACUAUAACGGUCCUAAGGUAGCGAAAUUCCUUGUCGGGUAAGUUCCGACCUGCACGAAUGGCGUAAUGAUGGCCAGGCUGUCUCCACCCGAGACUCAGUGAAAUUGAACUCGCUGUGAAGAUGCAGUGUACCCGCGGCAAGACGGAAAGACCCCGUGAACCUUUACUAUAGCUUGACACUGAACAUUGAGCCUUGAUGUGUAGGAUAGG